ensembl:lncRNA LOC120100749 uncharacterized LOC120100749
CUACCUGUGUUGUGCUCAGGCAGAGCUAAGUUCUAAACUGAUUUGCAUAUACAAUCAGAGGAGCCACUGUGCAAUGACAUCAUCACAGCAUGAUAGAGGUCACAGAUAGAACCCAACUGGUAUUGAUGCAGACAGGAAGCCAAAGCAUUCUAUCUUCUACUCUGAGAAUACCUCAAGGCUGGAUAUAAAACAUUGAGAGAUCAUGUGACAUCUUCAAGGCAACAGACUCUGUCUUUCAUGACCAGAACAAGGUCCCAUUCACUGGAUCUUAGGCACAGAUGAAGCUUGAGGAAUUUGAGUACGGAACUUUGGUUCUUGGAGAAGGGAUACCAGUUCUAGAAGACCACUGCCCUGCAUCCUCAGAUCAGGUCUCUGUCAAGUACUAAACAAAGCCCGAAUUGCAUCAAAAAGCAUCUUUAUCUACCCAAAGCUCCUCCACCAAGGCCAAGAAGGUCCCACAUUGGACAGAAUUGCUUGGGUGGGGAGGAUGACUGGAUUGUUCCCAUAUUGCUUUUUCAUUGCUUCUAUGACCUCCUCACACCUGGAUGCCCCCAAAACUCAAGAUAUCACUGCUGAGUAACAAUGUUCAGAAGAAAACAAUGACUGAUCUACACCUGCAAAUCAUGUAACCUUUUCUCAAGCUGAACUCCGAUCAGAAAGACUGUUCUCCGAGCUUUAACAAGUCAGGAAAGAUGCUAUCUACAUACCAAACCCUUCUGAAACAUGAUUUUUGGAUUCAGUUUAAAGGAGAAAUCUCUUGGCCCUGAGGAUUUCCGUUGCCACAUUUAUUAUCAAUUUUAAGCGGCACCUUUUGGAUUGUGAAUCUCUUGCAGGUAGAAUCCACAUCUACAGGACCCAGUGGUGUACCAGGCACGUAGUAGGUGGUUAACAAACUUUUGUGUGAAUCCAAGACAUGUAAUUCCUUCAAAUACAACAUACAUUCAGAUAACUGCUGACAUCUAGCCUGCAAUGUAUAAAUAAAUGUUUGCAUACAUAGAAACAGAGGUAUAUAGUGGCCAUCUAGAUUAGCAUUACAAACCUUAACCCCAGGCAGUGGGCUCUCGUUGCUUUGAGAAUGCACCAAAACCAUACCGUGAAUGCAGGCUGGAUACAGAGUAUGAGUAGAGGAUGCCAGGUACCCUGAUGCAUGCACUCUCUGGAUUGAAGAAGGGUCUUUCAUUCUAGUCUUUCCAACAUUCAACCAGGAGAACCACAUGGGGAGCUCUAGGAUUCUCCACCUCUGAGGCCGCCUUGUGACACGCACAACAGAUCUACCGAAGCAACCACCUCCAAAGCUUGGCACACUAGCACAGUAGGGCCACAGGCCACCCUCUGGCCUCUCUGCUUCCUGAUCAGCUCGCUGACAAUCUGCAAAGAACAACUCUCACUUCAGAGCCUUCAGCUCCCUUAACUAGAAGCGACUUCACCAGCCUGUGCCCUAUGGCCUGGUGGGUCCUUACUCUUAAAAUCAGAGGGCCAAACCAGACGUCCUUCCUUGACUCCAAAUGUGCUUUUCUUCGUUUCCCAAGUCAGCGUUUGCAUCUGACACAGUUACGAAGGCUGUUCCUGCAAGGGACCUGGACAAGGGCGUGCUGAGUCCUGAGUGAGGAAAUACAUGGCCAGGAGCACUCAGUUAUUUUCUUCAAUACUGAGGGAUGGACGAGUGUCUGCUGUGACUGGAGAAAGUGGGAAUGCGCCCCCUUCCUCCUUUUAUAAUUCAAAGCCCAGACUCCCCUUGGGGCUAGUCCUCUACCUGGGCCCCUCAUCCAGAAGGGAAAAGGGACUAUUUUCGUUGGUCCCCAGCUCCCCAGGGACGCUGCACAGCUCGCACCCACGGAGCCCAGCCCAGGAUGUUCAGCCAGACCUAGGGCGGCCCCGCCCCUACACGAACUUGACCGCACCCUCUUUCCCGGCGCGGCCAGGCCUGACGUCAC